rnacentral:rRNA from 1 species
UACGGAGGAUGCAAGCGUUAUCCGGAAUUAUUGGGCGUAAAGCGUCCGCAGGUGGCUGUGUAAGUCUGCUGUUAAAGAGUGAGGCUCAACCUCAUAAAAGCAGUGGAAACUACACGGCUAGAGUGCGUUCGGGGCAGAGGGAAUUCCUGGUGUAGCGGUGAAAUGCGCAGAUAUCAGGAGGAACACCGGUGGCGAAGGCGGGUCUCUGGGCAACAACUGACGCUGAGGAGCGAAAGCGUGGGGAGCGAACAGG